rnacentral:rRNA from 1 species
UCUAACAUGUACGCGAGUCAUUGGGACCGUACGAAAGGUAAAGGCGAAAUGAAAGUAAAGGUCGUGGCGCGAGCCCGGUCCAAAGAGGGGAGACGUGUGCGCAGNGGUCUCGGUCACGCGAGACCGUACCCCCGGGGGGUCUCGUACCCCCGGGGGGUCUCGUUCUCAUUGGGAGACAGUAGGAGCACCCAGAGCGUACACGUUGGUACCCGAAAGAUGGUGAACUAUGCCUGGUCAGGUCGAAGUCAGGGGAAACCCUGAUGGAGGACCGUAGCGAUUCUGACGUGCAAAUCGAUCGUCAGAGCUGGGUAUAGGGGCGAAAGACUAAUCGAACCAUCUAGUAGCUGGUUCCUUCCGA